CCCUUAGAUGUUCUGGGCCGCACGCGCGCUACACUGAUGCAUUCAACGAGUUUCUUCCUGGUCCGAGAGGAAUGGGUAACCUUUUGAAAGUGCAUCGUGAUAGGGAUAGACUAUUGCAAUUAUUGGUCUUCAACGAGGAAUUCCUAGUAGACGUAGUUCAUCAGACUGCAUCGAUUACGUCCCUGCCCUUUGUACACACCGCCCGUCGCUCCUACCGAUUGAAUGCUCAGGUGAGCCAUUCGGACUUUCAUCAUGCUGGUUUCCAGUUUUGAUGAAGGAAAGUCUUGCGAACCGUAUCAUUUAGAGGAAGGAGAAGUCGUAACA
rnacentral:rRNA from 1 species